rnacentral:misc_RNA from 1 species
ACACCUCAACCCUCCAAUGGUUUUGCAUUCAAGGUGUUGGUAGUGAGCGCUGCCGGACUUUUGGUCGGCUCGCUUUAAAAUCAUUAGCUGGAUCCAUUCUGGCCUGGUUCUACUCGGCGUAAUAAGUUAUUAUCGUCGAGGACGCUUGUCUUCCUAGGCAGGCGGCCACAGUAAGGGUGUUUGAACCGCUUCCAACACGUCUUGCUCUUGUAGCAAACACUUGAAC